rnacentral:rRNA from 1 species
UAGGGAAUCUUCCGCAAUGGGCGAAAGCUUGACGGAGCAACGCCGCGUGAGUGAUGAAGGUCUUCGGAUCGUAAAACUCUGUUAUUAGGGAAGAACAAAUGUGUAAGUAACUAUGCACGUCUUGACGGUACCUAAUCAGAAAGCCACGGCUAACUACGUGCCAGCAGCCGCGGUAAUACGUAGGUGGCAAGCGUUAUCCGGAAUUAUUGGGCGUAAAGCGCGCGUAGGCGGUUUUUUAAGUCUGAUGUGAAAGCCCACGGCUCAACCGUGGAGGGUAAUUGGAAACUGGAAAACUUGAGUGCAGAAGAAGAAAGUGGAAUUCCAUGUGUAGCGGUGAAAUGCGAAGAGAUAUGGAGGAACACCAGUGGCGAAGGGGACUUUCUGGUCUGUAACUGACGCUGAUGUGCGAAAGCGUGGGGAUCAAACAGG